CUAUCGUUAACUGAAUACAUAGGUUAACGAGGCGAACCGGGGGAACUGAAACAUCUAAGUACCCCGAGGAAAAGAAAUCAACCGAGAUUCCCCCAGUAGCGGCGAGCGAACGGGGAGCAGCCCAGAGUCUGAAUCAGCUUGUGUGUUAGUGGAACGGUCUGGAAAGUCCGACGGUACAGGGUGAUAGUCCCGUACACCAAAAUGCACAGGCUGUGAACUCGAAGAGUAGGGCGGGACACGUGGUAUCCUGUCUGAAUAUGGGGGGACCAUCCUCCAAGGCUAAAUACUCCUGACUGACCGAUAGUGAACCAGUACCGUGAGGGAAAGGCGAAAAGAACCCCGGCGAGGGGAGUGAAAAAGAACCUGAAACCGUGUACGUACAAGCAGUGGGAGCACCUUCGGGUGUGACUGCGUACCUUUUGUAUAAUGGGUCAGCGACUUAUAUUCUGUAGCAAGGUUAACCGUAUAGGGGAGCCGCAGGGAAACCGAGUCUUAACUGGGCGUUAAGUUGCAGGGUAUAGACCCGAAACCCGGUGAUCUAGCCAUGGGCAGGUUGAAGGUUGGGUAACACUAACUGGAGGACCGAACCGACUAAUGUUGAAAAAUUAGCGGAUGACUUGUGGCUGGGGGUGAAAGGCCAAUCAAACCGGGAGAUAGCUGGUUCUCCCCGAAAGCUAUUUAGGUAGCGCCUCGUGAACUCAUCUUCGGGGGUAGAGCACUGUUUCGGCUAGGGGGUCAUCCCGACUUACCAACCCGAUGCAAACUACGAAUACCGAAGAAUGUUAUCACGGGAGACACACGGCGGGUGCUAACGUCCGUCGUGAAGAGGGAAACAACCCAGACCGCCAGCUAAGGUCCCAAAGUCAUGGUUAAGUGGGAAACGAUGUGGGAAGGCACAGACAGCCAGGAUGUUGGCUUAGAAGCAGCCAUCAUUUAAAGAAAGCGUAAUAGCUCACUGGUCGAGUCGGCCUGCGCGGAAGAUGUAACGGGGCUAAACCAUGCACCGAAGCUGCGGCAGCGACACUAUGUGUUGUUGGGUAGGGGAGCGUUCUGUAAGCCUGCGAAGGUGUGCUGUGAGGCAUGCUGGAGGUAUCAGAAGUGCGAAUGCUGACAUAAGUAACGAUAAAGCGGGUGAAAAGCCCGCUCGCCGGAAGACCAAGGGUUCCUGUCCAACGUUAAUCGGGGCAGGGUGAGUCGACCCCUAAGGCGAGGCCGAAAGGCGUAGUCGAUGGGAAACAGGUUAAUAUUCCUGUACUUGGUGUUACUGCGAAGGGGGGACGGAGAAGGCUAUGUUAGCCGGGCGACGGUUGUCCCGGUUUAAGCAUGUAGGCUGAUUAUCCAGGCAAAUCCGGAUAAUCAAGGCUGAGGUGUGAUGACGAGGCACUACGGUGCUGAAGUAACAAAUGCCCUGCUUCCAGGAAAAGCCUCUAAGCAUCAGGUAACAUCAAAUCGUACCCCAAACCGACACAGGUGGUCAGGUAGAGAAUACCAAGGCGCUUGAGAGAACUCGGGUGAAGGAACUAGGCAAAAUGGUGCCGUAACUUCGGGAGAAGGCACGCUGGUGUGUAGGUGAAGUCCCUGCGGAUGGAGCUGAGACCAGUCGAAGAUACCAGCUGGCUGCAACUGUUUAUUAAAAACACAGCACUGUGCAAACACGAAAGUGGACGUAUACGGUGUGACGCCUGCCCGGUGCCGGAAGGUUAAUUGAUGGGGUUAUCCGUAAGGAGAAGCUCUUGAUCGAAGCCCCGGUAAACGGCGGCCGUAACUAUAACGGUCCUAAGGUAGCGAAAUUCCUUGUCGGGUAAGUUCCGACCUGCACGAAUGGCGUAAUGAUGGCCAGGCUGUCUCCACCCGAGACUCAGUGAAAUUGAACUCGCUGUGAAGAUGCAGUGUACCCGCGGCAAGACGGAAAGACCCCGUGAACCUUUACUAUAGCUUGACACUGAACAUUGAGCCUUGAUGUGUAGGAUAGGUGGGAGGCUUUGAAGCGUGGACGCCAGUCUGCGUGGAGCCAACCUUGAAAUACCACCCUUUAAUGUUUGAUGUUCUAACGUUGGCCCCUGACCGGGGUUGCGGACAGUGUCUGGUGGGUAGUUUGACUGGGGCGGUCUCCUCCCAAAGCGUAACGGAGGAGCACGAAGGUUAGCUAAUCCUGGUCGGACAUCAGGAGGUUAGUGCAAUGGCAUAAGCUAGCUUGACUGCGAGCGUGACGGCGCGAGCAGGUGCGAAAGCAGGUCAUAGUGAUCCGGUGGUUCUGAAUGGAAGGGCCAUCGCUCAACGGAUAAAAGGUACUCCGGGGAUAACAGGCUGAUACCGCCCAAGAGUUCAUAUCGACGGCGGUGUUUGGCACCUCGAUGUCGGCUCAUCACAUCCUGGGGCUGAAGUAGGUCCCAAGGGUAUGGCUGUUCGCCAUUUAAAGUGGUACGCGAGCUGGGUUUAGAACGUCGUGAGACAGUUCGGUCCCUAUCUGCCGUGGGCGCUGGAGAAUUGAGGGGGGCUGCUCCUAGUACGAGAGGACCGGAGUGGACGCAUCACUGGUGUUCGGGUUGUCAUGCCAAUGGCACUGCCCGGUAGCUAAAUGCGGAAGAGAUAAGUGCUGAAAGCAUCUAAGCACGAAACUUGCCCCGAGAUGAGUUCUCCCUGAGACUAUAAGUCUCCUGAAGGAACGUUAAAGACGAUGACGUUGAUAGGCCGGGUGUGUAAGCGCAGCGAUGCGUUGAGCUAACCGGUACUAAUGAACCGUGAGGCUUAACCUU
rnacentral:rRNA from 1 species